UCCAAACAAAUCAUUCCGCAAAUCAAACGGCAAUAGCUCACCCUCCCCUUCCAUGUACAACUUCCCACUAAUAUCAGGACCACAGAAUCUCUUCAGCUUAUGCCAAAAAGACAUUUUAAUAGUAUCCGGAGUACGAAUCAUUUUCCAGGUAUCAGCAUUUGCGGAAUACAACUGUGCUUCUGAGAAGUUACCCAUGUUAAUAAUAGAACCCCAUGUGUUACGGACAACCUUUGUUACAAUCCUAAGAAUCUUGUAGUCAUUUCCAACAGAAUCAAACCCAAACCCUAGACAAACCCCGACUUGAUUGAUUUCAUAGUUGGGGGCAUAAAGCAUCUUAUACUGUCUAGUACAUGGAUUCCAAAUACAAAUAUCAUAGCUACUUUCAUUGGAAAGACAAACAAGACCAUUACAAGAACGCAUGUAAUAAACCAUACCCUCAAGACGUGAUGGCAAUUUAAGCUCAACUGAUUCUUCAACAGUGUCCAUGGAGAAAACCCUCCAAUAAUAAGAGGCUUUGAGCACGGAUGCUUGUUUGUUCCUGGAAUUGGCAAGGUGGGCUUCAACAAACUGUGGGCUUGUUAUGAUGGACAGCCAGGUUUUGCAGACUGAUUUGAAGCGGAGAAGUGAUAUUACAGGAAGAUGGGAAAGUAUGAGAAAAACCAUCUCUUCGGAGAAAUAAUUAGUCGCCAUUGAGCCCUAGGAUGUUGUGUGUAUUAUAUAACAUUCAAAUGUGCAUCAGAAAGAUAAACAAGACCAUUACAAGAAUGAAAAUAACGAACCAUACUCUUACAGCAUGAUGACAAUUUGAACACUAUUAACGGCCGGUGUACUUAUUUUCUCUUGGAAUUAAGGUGGACUUCAACAAACUGAGGGUUUGUUAUAUAUAAAGAAUAGAUAGGUUUUACAAACUCAAAGCUGAAGGUGAUAUCACAAGAAGAUAUGAAUGUCGAAUAUUAUUUCUUCACAUAAAUAAUAGAUAGAUCUUUUACUCCUUAUUCAGCUGUAAUGAUGAUGAUAAAGUUGCGUUUUAGGGUUCCCGUUAUCGAACCCUAAUAUAUAUAUCCGUUGUAUUUAUUCUUACAAAUUCUGUAAAUUAUUUUAAGCUUUCUUUUCAAAAGGUUUAUCAAAGAGUUUAAAAUUAUUAAGAAAAUUAUAUACAAAAAUUUCAACCUAUUUUACAACAAAGCAGGGUGUACUUCGUAGACUCAAUGACAAGGCAUUAGACUAACCCCCUUGUGCUCUCUACAUUACACAAAUUUACGAAACAAACAAGCUGGUCCUAUUAUAAACACAUUUGCAGCAAUUAUGCUGGACUCUUCCUUUCCCAGAUAUGACCCUGCAAAAGAUUACAAGAAUGUCAGUCUAAGAAUAUCUGAUAACAUUUGGAAAAAAUGAACUCGAAAAGAAAACAAACGAUAAUUCUAUGGAAUUGAGCAUUCUUUCUUUCACAAUAUCAAAGUUACUUACCACUUCACGCUUGUGAUUCAAACCCCUCAAGAGAGACAAGGCUCUCAGUGAACUUGGCAACCGACUUGACAUCGGUGAGAUGAGCGGGGAAAGGAAGCUUCUUAGUGGUUUUCUUCUUGUAGUUGUAAAAUUUGUAUCCAAAAAUAAAAUUAAGUCCAAGAAAGUGUUGGGCGCCCAAAUAAAGAUACAUCCGAUCCAACUCUAAAUCCGUUUCAAGAUUGAACUUUUUAAUCCACAAGCCAGCAUCAUCUAACAUCCAAAGACUAAGGACUGAUUCAUCCCCAGCUGCAGAUUCAUAUACCAUAGCCAGAGAACCUUCAAAAUCCAAAAUUUUGGACUUCUUUAUCCUUUUCUGUUCCACGUUAUAAUCAAGAAACGGUAAUACUACAAGUUCUCCAAACACAUCGUUGCGCAAAUCAAACGGCAAUAGCCCACCGUCACCUUCCAAAUACAACUUCCCACUAAUAUCAGGACCACAGGAUCUCUUCAGCCUAUUCCAAAAAGAUAUUCUAAUAGUAUCCGGAAUACGAAUCUUUUUCCAAGUAUCAGCCUUUGCGGAAUACAACUGUGCUUCUGGUUUAAGAUUCAUGCUAACAAUAAAACCUCGUAAGUCACGGACAACCUUUGUUACAAUCCAAAGAAUCUUGUAGUCGUUUCCAAUAGAAUCAAAACCAAACCCUAGACAAUGCCUUACACCAAAUGCAUAGUUGGGCACAGAAAGCAUCUUAUACUGUCUAGUACACGGAUUCCAAAUACAUAUACUAUCAUAACAAUCAUUAGAAAGACAAACAAGACCAUUACAAGAACGCAUGUAACGAACCUUACCCUCCCAAUGUGAUGGCAGUUUAAGCUCAACUGAAUCUUCCACAGUGUCCAUGGAGAGAACCCUCCAAUCAUAAGAGGCUUUGAGCACAGAUGCUUGUUUCUUCUAGGAAUUAGCCAGCUGGGCUUUAACAAACUGUGGGCUUUCUAUGAUAGAUAGCCAGGUUUUGCACACAGAUUUGCAGCGUAGAAGUGAUAUUACAGGAAGAUAGGAAAGUAUGAGGAACACCAUCUCUUCGGAUAAAUAAUUAUUACAUCUUUUAGUGGCCAUUGAGCACAAGAAAUGAUUAUGAGAAUAAUAAAGUUGCGUUUUGGUGUUCAGAUAGAGGUGGUAAGAAGAGGGGUGCGAGACUAGGCAUUCUGAACCCUAUUAUAUAUAUACCCGCUGUACCCUACACAGCGAACAGACGCCUCCCUCUAUUUCUUCACUUCGCGACUCUUCGCGUAAAUUCUUUUUCUUUAUCAGGGAAAACGUCAUCAAUCUGCCUAAACAAAUCUGCGGGAAUAAUAAUUUUUGCCAUAACAAGAAUUUAUUUCUAAAAAAGUUUUAAAUUACUAAUUCUGCCGGUUAAAUAUUCUUUUUCAAAUUUUCUUUUUAUGAAUUAAAAUAUUAUACUUAUAAUUUUAUUCACAAAAGUAAAAAUUUCAAAUAGGUGAUUAAAUUACUUAAAAGUACAUGAAAAAAAGUUAGGAGACUAACAUACCCACAAAAAGAAUAAUUAAUAUUUGGUCACAUUUCUUUGAUUAGAUAUAUUUUUUGAAAAUGUGAAAUAAUUAGAGCAUGUAUCAAUUCAUAGUAGAAUAUCUUAAUGGUAUUUGAUAAAAUAAUGAAGUCUUAAAUAUAAAAACAAUUUUUACAUUAAUUUCUUGAAAUAAUUAAGUAAAGUAUUAUGUUUAUUAUAAUUCCUGAAAAUUUAAUAUUAAUGUUAUUGAUAUCGAGUAAGCAUUAUUCUGAUUGGACAAUUUUUUUUUAAAAAAAAUCAGUUCAAGGAUCAAUUCAAAAAAACAUAUGUUAUUUUACCAUCAUAACUUGUUUUAAGAUUAUAAACAAUAAGAUAAUUAAUUCUUUUAGAGUGUAAAAGAAUUGGGGCGUACCUUCAAAAAUAAAAAUCUCCUGCAAAUUCCUUUCAAAAAUAUGUUUUUAGAUCAAUUGAACUUUAAAAAUUACAAUUUAAAACUUCUCCGAUCUAAUAUGCAACUCCAUUUUUAUUAUAUUUUUCUCAAUUGAUUUGAGAAGUAAUUCCCUUUUGUAAAUCGUAACUUUCAAAAAUGAAACUUAAAAACAGAAAUUUGAAUAUAUAUUUCAGAAAACCAUUUUUUCGAAACCAAGUUAAAAGUGUAGGGUGUUUCUUUAUAAUUUCCCUAAAUAAUACUGUCAAACAAGCCCGAAAUCCGUUUGCUUGCUUUGGAUAGCAUUUUCAAGUCAAAUAAUUAAACGAAUGGGAAAAGUCAUAUCUAGAAGCACAUAAGCAACUAUAUAUAUUCAAGCUUCACUACCAUAAAAUCCACAGCAUGCAGAUGAAAAAGGAGAAGCAACUUUUACCUAUCCGUCUAAACAUAAUAAUUUUUAGCAACCAACAAAUCCAUCCAUUAUACCUAGAACCUAAACUUACAAAGCAGGGUGUACUUGGUACUCAAUGACAAGGCAUUAGACUAAAUUCACUUGUGCCAUCUACAUGCACAAUUUACAAAACAAACAAGCUGGUCCAGUUAUAAACACAUUUGCCACAAUUCUGCCCGACUCUUCCUUUCCCUUAAAUGACCCUGCAAAAGAUUGCCAAUGUCAGUCUAAUAAGCACUUGAUAACAUUUGUGAACUGUCGCAAAAUUCUUUAGAGAACCAUAUUUCACCUUGGCAUUGCAUUAUAUUACAAAAAGAUGAAACAUAAAUAAUUGUGGCUCUUUAAUUGGUAGAAGUAGCGGCUUCUUUAAGUGUAGAAGUCCAGUACACCCUUUCUGUUUAUUUUAUCCAACUUUAACUUGUUAUGCUAAUUGCUUUUGUUUUAGUUUCAUUAGUUGGAAAAUGGUGAAUGUAUUGCACUUGCAAGAAACAGUAUCAUGUGACUUGUGUCUCUGGAUUUUAAACGAAUUUCUUAGCAAGUUUAUCUAUUAUCAAUUCAAACUCUUUUAAAAAUUAUAUUAUAAUGUACCAAACACUGCACGAACUUAUAAGUCAAAUUAUCCAAACACUAAAAAAAACUUACAAGUUCAAGUAACCAAACACUUAAAUUAAUGUUUGACAAAUUAACAAUGAGUUGAGAAUAGUAUUAUUAUUAUUACACACGCACUAACAAAAUCUCCUUCACAAGUCCUGAACAAUGAGUAGAAUACAAUACAAGAUGAAUAUCUUACCUAUAUUCCUCUAUUGAAUAAAUUGAAUUUCCUUUUCUUAGUUAGACUAGCUGGUAAAAGCAAAAAUAUAAUAACAAAUCUCAAAAAAAUUCUGCAAGAUAACGGUAACAUGGUAGAUCCACAAAAAACCAGGGUAAUGGAUCCAUACAUCACAGGUACUAGAGUGUCUGAUAUACUAUAAAUGCCGAUAUCACAGAGCAUACUCAAUCUUCAACAUUUUUCCUGUUUUAGGAAUUAGAACACAGUGAGAAUAUAUUGGGAUGACAGUAUUAUGUUUAUAAUUACUGCAGGGCCUGAUAAAGAACAAUGUAUGUAAGUUGACACAUACACGCAAUCUAGCUAAGAUAUUGAAAUGAAAGAUGCCAAGGGGAUCAACCAUUAAAUCCUAAUAAAGCAGGGUAGGAGCAUAUUGACAAUGUUUGUGGAAAAAAUUGAGUAAACACAAGGCAACCAUCUGUGAUUCUUUUUUUAAGUAUACUAAUAAUCAGAUACUCAAAAACUACUAUUAAUAACUAAGACUAGAGAGCAAAGAGGGUGUUGAUAUAUGUCUAAGAAGUUGGAAAGUGCCUAUAUACUGCAAGUACUGGUAAUAACUAUAUAUGUAAGGACGUCGUCCAUCAACUCUAACUUGAUCCACAAAUCUAAGUUAGCCAAGUGAGAUUACAGGAGCAGAGAUAUCACUUAUCCAAACAAUGUAUGUAAGUUCACUUGUUUAAAUAAUUAGAGUGAAUUAGGAAGUAUAUAUACAAUGAAACUACACUUACCAAAAAAAAUAAACUCGAAAAAUAAACAAACAAUAAUUCUACAAAAUGGAGCAUUCUUACACAAUAUUAGAGUUACUUGCGACUUCAUUCUUGUGAUUGAAACCCCUCAAGGGAAACAAGGCUCUGAGUGAACUUGGCAACUGACUUGACAUCGGUGAGAUGAGCUGGGAAAGGAAGCUUCUUAGUCGUUUUCUUUGUGUAGUUGUAAAAUUUGUAUCCAAAAACAAAAUUGAGUCCAAGAAAGUGUUGAGCGCCCAAAUAAAGAUACGUCCGAUCCAACUCCAAAUCCAUUUCAAGAUUGAACUUUUUAAUCCACAAGCCAUCAUCAUCUAACAUCCAAAGACUCAUAACUGAUUCAUCCCCAGCAGAUUCAUAUACCAUAGCCACAGAACCUUCAAAAUCCAAAAUCUUAGACUUCUUUAUCCUUUUCUGUUCCACGUAAUCAGGAAACGGUAACACCACAAUUUCUCCAAACAAAUCAUUCCGCAAAUCAAACGGCAAUAGCUCACCCUCCCCUUCCAUGUACAACUUCCCACUAAUAUCAGGACCACAGAAUCUCUUCAGCUUAUGCCAAAAAGACAUUUUAAUAGUAUCCGGAGUACGAAUCAUUUUCCAGGUAUCAGCAUUUGCGGAAUACAACUGUGCUUCUGAGAAGUUACCCAUGUUAAUAAUAAAACCCCAUGUGUUACGGGUAACCUUUGUUACAAUCCUAAGAAUCUUGUAGUCAUUUCCAACAGAAUCAAACCCAAACCCUAAACAAGCCCCGACAUUAUUUAUUGAAUAGUUGGGGGCAUUAAGCAUCUUAUACUGUCUAGUACACGGAUUCCAAAUACAAAUAUCAUAACUACUUUCAUUGGAAAGACAAACAAGACCAUUACAAGAACGCAUGUAAUAAACCAUACCCUCAAGACGUGAUGGCAAUUUAAGCUCAACUGAUUCUUCAACACUGUCCAUGGAGAAAACCCCCCAAUAAUAAGAGGCUUUGAGCACGGAUGCUUGUUUGUUCCUGGAAUUGGCAAGGUGGGCUUCAACAAACUGUGGGCUUUUUAUGAUGGAUAGCCAGGUUUUGCAGACUGAUUUGAAGCGGAGAAGUGAUAUUACAGGAAGAUAGGAAAGUAUGAGAAAAAUUAUCUCUUCGGAGAAAUAAUUAGUCGCCAUUGAGCCCUAGGAAUGAUGAUGAUAAAGUUGCGGUUCAGUGUUCCAGUUCUCAACUCUAUAUACCCGAUGUAUCCUACAUUCAAACGAACAGACACUCCCCCUAUUUCUUCACUCCCGACUCUUCGAUAAAUACACCAGAAAAACAUGAUUCAGAAAUAAACAGGUACAUUUUGCUUCGUAUUAAUAAAAUCAUUUGUUUGUCAAGAAAAAAAACAACAGCAUUUUGUCGAACAUUUAUGAGAAGGAUGUGGGGAAUCUUAAACUCUUCAUUUUUUUCGCGUAUUUAAUUUUUACUCUUUUUGGUUUUUUUUAUAUGUCACGUACCUUUAAGUGGGUUGACUGCAUAGUAAAAAUUAUUAUGAUUGACACUUUGCACCCCUUAUAUUUCGGCGCUUUUUCGAUUUGGUCUCAAACAUUUUUUUUUGACAGUAUGCACCCCAAAGUUUGAAAAGCGCUUCGCUUUGCACCCUUUUGACCAAUCUCCGUUAAUUGACCGUUAAAGUUAACAGAUUUCAGGUUUUCACUUUGCACCCCACAAUUUUAAUUUUUUUUCAUGAGUGUUUUGAAAUAUUUUUUUUCCAAAAUUAGACACUUUUGAAAUAUUUUUUUUCUAAAUUAGACACUAUUGCCUGCUGGUAUUAACGACAUUGUUUACAAAUGCCCUGAACUUCAUAAUAUUAAGAACAUGUGCCAUAGGAUGACAAAAUAAGUUAGGAACUUUUUAAAAGAUUGAUAAUAUCACUUCAGAGCCUGAGAAUGUUGGAGAUUUCAGCCAUAUUAAAAUUCUCAUAUUAUUCUGUGUAAAACGAAUUGCUAUUUAAAACGAACAAAAUUGAUGAUACCUGAUAAAUGCCCAGUAUCUUUGCAAGGCAGGUGGAGCUAUGUGAAGUGAUUGAUUCAGAUAAAUACUUUAAAUAUUCUGGAACGAAGUCGAUAAAAGACUUCAGUUCUGUCUUGGUAACCUGUUUAAUUAUAAACCUGUCAUCUAAGGUUUUUCAAAGAAGACAUUGCUCUUGCCACCCUGCGCUCCCCACUUCUUACAACGGCUAAGAGACCAUAUAUAAUCUAAUUCGUUGCAACAGAUCUUCCGCAAAGCCUUAAAUCUCCUUUCACAAUAACAAAUAACAAGUUACAGUGUACUUUACCUUCUCAAGUGGAACUUCAUCUGUAAAAGAAACCUUAGCAUGCAUAUUGUUGUUGUAUGAGAGCGAGUCCAACCCUGAGGAGGCUUGAGAACUGGACAUGGAUAAGAAGCUCUCAUCAGCAGAAGCAAGAGGCUUGAGAACAACAAUAGUGUCUAAUUUUGAAAAAAAAUAUUUCAAAAGUGUCUAAUUUUGAAAAAAAAUAUUUCAAAAUACUCAUGAAAAAAAAUUAAAAUUGUGGGGUGCAAAGUGAAAAUAUGAAAUCUGUUAACUUUAACGGUCAAUUAACGGUGAGUGGUCAAAGGGGUGCAAAACGAAGCGCUUUUCAAACUUUAGGGUGCAUACUGCCAAAAAAAAUUGUUUGAGACCAAAUCGAAAAAGCGCCUAAACAUAAGGGGUGCAAAGUGUCAAUCACUCUUGUGCACGGGUCGGUUCGGUUCGGUUUUUACCAAAAACCGUUACCAAACCGUGUAUGUCGGUUCGGUUCGGUUUCUAGGUAUUAACCGUAACCGAACCGUUCGGAACGGUUUUUCUCGGUUCGGUUAACCGUUUGUCGGUUUCGGUUUUUUUCGGUUUUCAAAUUUAAUAGUUUAUUCUCUUAAAUAUCAUGCUAAUAAAAAAAUUAUAAAUAUCAUAUUAACAUCGAUAAAAAUUAUAAAUAUCAUAUUAACAGUGCUCUCCAAACACAUCGUUGCGCAAAUCAAACGGCAAUAGCCCACCCUCACCUUCCAAAUACAACUUCCCACUAAUAUCAGGACCACAGGAUCUCUUCAGCCUAUUCCAAAAAGAUACUCUAAUAGUAUCCGGAAUACGAAUCUUUUUCCAAGUAUCAGCCUUUGCGGAAUACAACUGUGCUUCUGGUUUAAGAUUCAUGCUAACAAUAAAACCUCGUAAGUCACGGACAACCUUUGUUACAAUCCAAAGAAUCUUGUAGUCGUUUCCAAUAGAAUCAAAACCAAACCCUAGACAAUGCCUUACACCAAAUGCAUAGUUGGGCACAGAAAGCAUCUUAUACUGUCUAGUACACGGAUUCCAAAUACAAAUAUCAUAGCUACUUUCAUUGGAAAGACAAACAAGACCAUUACAAGAACGCAUGUAAUAAACCAUACCCUCAAGACGUGAUGGCAAUUUAAGCUCAACUGAUUCUUCAACACUGUCCAUGGAGAAAACCCCCCAAUAAUAAGAGGCUUUGAGCACGGAUGCUUGUUUGUUCCUGGAAUUGGCAAGGUGGGCUUCAACAAACUGUGGGCUUUUUAUGAUGGAUAGCCAGGUUUUGCAGACUGAUUUGAAGCGGAGAAGUGAUAUUACAGGAAGAUAGGAAAGUAUGAGAAAAAUUAUCUCUUCGGAGAAAUAAUUAGUCGCCAUUGAGCCCUAGGAAUGAUGAUGAUAAAGUUGCGGUUCAGUGUUCCAGUUCUCAACUCUAUAUACCCGAUGUAUCCUACAUUCAAACGAACAGACACUCCCCCUAUUUCUUCACUCCCGACUCUUCGAUAAAUACACCAGAAAAACAUGAUUCAGAAAUAAACAGGUACAUUUUGCUUCGUAUUAAUAAAAUCAUUUGUUUGUCAAGAAAAAAAACAACAGCAUUUUGUCGAACAUUUAUGAGAAGGAUGUGGGGAAUCUUAAACUCUUCAUUUUUUUCGCGUAUUUAAUUUUUACUCUUUUUGGUUUUUUUUAUAUGUCACGUACCUUUAAGUGGGUUGACUGCAUAGUAAAAAUUAUUAUGAUUGACACUUUGCACCCCUUAUAUUUCGGCGCUUUUUCGAUUUGGUCUCAAACAUUUUUUUUUGACAGUAUGCACCCCAAAGUUUGAAAAGCGCUUCGCUUUGCAGCCUUUUGACUAAUCUCCGUUAAUUGACCGUUAAAGUUAACAGAUUUCAGGUUUUCGCUUUGCACCCCACAAUUUUAAUUUUUUUUCAUGAGUGUUUUGAAAUAUUUUUUUUCCAAAAUUAGACACUUUUGAAAUAUUUUUUUUCUAAAUUAGACACUAUUGCCUGCUGGUAUUAACGACAUUGUUUACAAAUGCCCUGAACUUCAUAAUAUUAAGAACAUGUGCCAUAGGAUGACAAAAUAAGUUAGGAACUUUUUAAAAGAUUGAUAAUAUCACUUCAGAGCCUGAGAAUGUUGGAGAUUUCAGCCAUAUUAAAAUUCUCAUAUUAUUCUGUGUAAAACGAAUUGCUAUUUAAAACGAACAAAAUUGAUGAUACCUGAUAAAUGCCCAGUAUCUUUGCAAGGCAGGUGGAGCUAUGUGAAGUGAUUGAUUCAGAUAAAUACUUUAAAUAUUCUGGAACGAAGUCGAUAAAAGACUUCAGUUCUGUCUUGGUAACCUGUUUAAUUAUAAACCUGUCAUCUAAGGUUUUUCAAAGAAGACAUUGCUCUUGCCACCCUGCGCUCCCCACUUCUUACAACGGCUAAGAGACCAUAUAUAAUCUAAUUCGUUGCAACAGAUCUUCCGCAAAGCCUUAAAUCUCCUUUCACAAUAACAAAUAACAAGUUACAGUGUACUUUACCUUCUCAAGUGGAACUUCAUCUGUAAAAGAAACCUUAGCAUGCAUAUUGUUGUUGUAUGAGAGCGAGUCCAACCCUGAGGAGGCUUGAGAACUGGACAUGGAUAAGAAGCUCUCAUCAGCAGAAGCAAGAGGCUUGAGAACAACAAUAGUGUCUAAUUUUGAAAAAAAAUAUUUCAAAAGUGUCUAAUUUUGAAAAAAAAUAUUUCAAAAUACUCAUGAAAAAAAAUUAAAAUUGUGGGGUGCAAAGUGAAAAUAUGAAAUCUGUUAACUUUAACGGUCAAUUAACGGUGAGUGGUCAAAGGGGUGCAAAACGAAGCGCUUUUCAAACUUUAGGGUGCAUACUGCCAAAAAAAAUUGUUUGAGACCAAAUCGAAAAAGCGCCUAAACAUAAGGGGUGCAAAGUGUCAAUCACUCUAUUUUUAAUUGAUUUUUUUUGUGAAUUAAAGUUUUGAUCAUAUAUUUUUAUUCAGAAAAAUAAAUUUUCAAAAAUAAUAUUUUUAACUAUCCAGUCACGUCUACAAGCACAUAAGCAAGUACAUAAGCAUUUUCAGUGACAUAUAUUUUCUAUUUUUUCAAUUGAUAAAAUAUUAAUGAAUCUCUGUCAAACUUUAGUCAAGUUUACUGACACACAACCAAAAAUGAAGAGACGGAGGGAGUAAUAUUUAGCAAACGAACAAAUCCAUCCAAUAUAAGGAAGACCUAGAUAUACCAAAAGUUUGAACCUAAAUUUACAAAGCAGGGUGUACUUCGUACUUAAUGACAAGGCAUUGUUAGACUAAUUCACUUGUGCUCUCUACAUGCACAAUUUACAAAACAAACAAGCUGGUCCAGUUAUAAACACAUUUGCCACAACUCUGCCUGACUCUUCCUUUCCCUUGAAUGACCUGCAAAAGAUCACAAGAAUGUCAGUCUAAUAAGCACUUGAUAAGUGAUAACAUUUGUCGACAGAUCACCAACUGUAGCAAAGUUCUCUAGAGAACCAUAGCUUCAAACUUGCCUUUAUUUAAUCAAAUUUCACCGCAUGGCCUUGCAUUAUAUUACUAAAAGAUGAAACAGAAAUAAUUAAUGUAUGACAAACUGACAAUGAGGUGAGAAUAGUAAUAUCAUUAUGCACAAGCACUAACAAAAUCUCUCCUUUAAUACAAGUCCUGAACAAUGAGUAGAAUACAAUACAAGAUAAAUAUCUUACAAAUAUUCCUUUAUUGGAUAAAUUGAAGUUCCUUUUCUCAGUUAAACUAGCCGGUAAAAGCAAAAAUAUAAUAACAAAUCUCAAAAAAUACUCUGCAAGAUAACGGUAACUUGGUAGAUCCACAAAAAACCAGGGUAAUUAAUGGAUCUAUUUUUAAGUAUAUUAAUCAGAUACUCAAAAACCUUUAAUAACUAAGACUUAGAGAGCAAAGAGGGUGAUGAUAAGUACAUCGUUUCCCCCAAUGCUAACUUGAUCCACAAAUCUAAUUAGUUACUUAAUUAGCUAGCCAAGUAUUUCAUUUGUUGAAAUAAUAAGAUUGAAUCAGGAACUAUAUACCAAUGAAACUACAAUCAACAAAAAAAAAAACUCUAAAAGUAAACAAAGAAUAAUUCUACAAAAUUGAGCAUUCUUUCACAAUAUUAAAGUUACUUACCACUUCACUCUUGAGAUUUAAACCCCUCAAGGGAGACAAGGCUCUCGGUGAACUUGACAACUGAGUUGACAUCGGUGAGAUGAGCUGGGAAAGGAAGCUUCUUAGUCGUUUUCUUUUUGUAGUUGUAAAAUUUGUAUCCAAAAACAAAAUUGAGUCCAAGAAAGUGUUGAGCGCCCAAAUAAAGAUACAUCCGAUCCAACUCCAAUUCCAUUUCAAGAUUGAACUUUUUAAUCCACAAGCCAACAUCAUCUAAUAUCCAAAGACUAAGAACUGAUUCAUCCCCGGCAGAUUCAUAUACCAUAGCGAGAGAACCUUCAAAAUUCAAAAUUUUAGACUUCUUUAUCCUUUUCUCUUGCACGUGUUUGGGAAACGGUAACACUACAAUUUCUCCAAACACAUUGUUCCGCAAAUCAAAUGGCACUAGCCCACCCUCACCUCCCAAAUACAACAUCCCACUAAUAUCAGGACCACACAAUAUCUUCAGCUUAGUGGAAAGAGAAUCUUUAAUAUUAUCCGGAACCUGAAUCUUUUUCCAAGUAUCAGCAUUUGCGGAAUACAACUGUGCUUCAGGUUCACUCAUGUCGCGGCCACGGAUAACCUUUCUUACAAUCCUAAGAACCUUGUAGUCAUUUCCAAUACAAUCAAAACCAAACCCUAGACAAAUUGCAACAUUAUGUGCAUAAUUGGGGACAGAAAGCCUCUUAUACUGUCUAGUACAGGGAUUCCAGAUACAUAUAACAUAAUAACUUUCAUUGGAAAGACAAACAAGACCAUUACAAGAACGCAUGUAACGAACCUUACCCUCAAGACGUUCACAUGGCAAUUUAAGCUUAACUGAUUCUUCAACAGUGUCCAUGGACAAAACCC
rnacentral:lncRNA from 1 species